UGGGGAAUCUUCCGCAAUGGGGCGAAAGCCUGACGGAGCAACGCCGCGUGAGUGAAGAAGGGUUUCGGCUCGUAAAGCUCUGUUGUCGGGGACGAACGUGAGACGUGUGAAGAAUGCGUUUUAAUGACGGUACCUGACGAGGAAGCCACGGCUAACUACGUGCCAGCAGCCGCGGUAAUACGCAGGUGGCAAGCGUUGUCCGGAAUUAUUGGGCGUAAAGCGCGCGCAGGCGGCUUCUUAAGUCCAUCUUAAAAGUGCGGGGCUUAACCCCGUGAUGGGAUGGAAACUGAGAGGCUGGAGUAUCGGAGAGGAAAGUGGAAUUCCUAGUGUAGCGGUGAAAUGCGUAGAGAUUAGGAAGAACACCGGUGGCGAAGGCGACUUUCUGGACGACAACU
rnacentral:rRNA from 1 species